AAGAAGUGACCCUUCUGGACUCCAAGCACAAACAAAAACCUGGCAUGAGCUUAGAAACAAGAGAAAAUUGUUAUGUUAAUAUAUGAAUUAUGAAGACAGCCUCUCUACCUCGGCAGGUAGGAGGGUAAGGUCUGCGUACACACCACCCUCCCCAGACCCCACUUGUGGGAUUACACUGGGUAUGUUGUUGUUGUUGAAGACAGAAAAACAGAAAUAUAUAUACAGGAUCACCAAUUGAGAAAUCAUGGGGGACUAGAAGAACUUUAUAGACGUGCAGCCAAACCUCAGAGGUAUGCCCUUCCAAAACCACUACGUCACAACUUGGAAUUUCACAUGGUAAGGAGGUUGAGCUUGUGCAGAUCUCCAUAGGCUCCAAAUCUAUUUUGCAAUUCAACAAGAAAAAACUUCAGAGUGGCAAAGACUAUCAAAGAGAAGAGCAAAGUAUCAGAUGUAGAAAUCUAUCAAUAUAUCCUGCAUCUAUAAUGCUCGUAAGAAUAGCAAGUUAGCUGAAAUGCGAAUGUAUUACCUCCAGCUUUUCCAUUUUCUUCACAUCUGGUAGUCUCUUUUUCUCCACUCCGUUUCAAAUCCAUAAGAUCCUUGCGUGGUUUUUCUUUUUCUUUGCGCUUUUCUUUCUCCUUAUUCUUUUCAAUCCUUUCUCUAUCCCGUUCUCGCUCUUUUUCCCUCUGUUGUUUUUCCCUCUCUCUUUCUUUUAUAGGUUCUUGUUCAUGGUCCCUCACAUGGUCAGCAUUCACCUUGUCCUUCCCCCUAGGUUUAUCUUUCUGAAGCUUUUCCUUUUUCUCUUUUAUUAUUUUUUGCAGCUCGUACACAUCCUUUGUAAUGAGAUCCAAAGGUUGUAGAAACUGGAAGUCUUCGUCCAUGUCGGAAUCAUCCUGCAUCCCAUAGUUAUAAUUGGCUAGUUCAGAGUUCUCAAAAGAGCUCAACUACAGACCCAAAAUCAGAAUAUCAAAAUUUUUGCAUUACAUUGCUCAAAUUUGCUUCCAGUUCAAGAUACUGAAUACCCUUUUGCACAAAGGUAACAAGAGCACCUGGAGGGACCAGAUUUGCAUCUAUUGUGCUCUUAUUCAUCCCCCCCUCGUAUCCUAAAGCAAAGGCUGAGUGUGAGAAUCCUGAAAAAGAUAUCAGUAAACCAGUGACUGAUUAGAUUGCUUUUCUAGGAUUCGAUCUUGGACUAGUCCAUCAGGAUGAAGGUCAAGGCAUAAGCCUAUUAGCUAAGCAAAUUCAAUGAAGCAACAACUGGUACCACAAAGAACAGCUAUAAACUGGAGAGUCUUGAUCAACUUGGAAGAUCAUUUAAAGUAAGUGCAAUUACUGAAAUUUCAUCUGUUCAAUCAAGUAAGGGAAGCUGAAUGGAUUUUGUAACUGUUUCAAUCUUAUUAUUAUCCAUUUUCUUUUUUGUCUGAAUACUCAGGAGCUAAGACCGUUCCAAUGCCCCCAUCAGCCAUGCAUAAACUAAACCAAUAAUUGAAAUAAGUAUGACAAUGAAUGCUUCAACCUCCCCCUCCCCCCACCUUUUAUAGAUAAGAAAGCUCGUGAGACUGAAAGAUAAUUGUUUGUCAUCCAGAAAAAAAGAAAGCAAUAUGCGCUUCAACUAAAUUGAAAUAGAAAGCACAUGAAAUGAACACCUGACAGUCCUAUCACCUUAAUGACUUCACCAUAGCAAGAUAUGCACAUCCUAGAUUACAGAAGUAGUGAAGUAAGGACAUGUAAACUCAAUGAAAUUAAAUCAGAAGCAUUUGAGGAAGACGCUCAUUUUUUAUAGUGCAUCCUCCAUUUGCGCUCUUUUAGUAGUUCUGGUGGAAAUAACAGCUCCUCACAAACAGUCCAAAAAAGGAGGAGAGAUCCAACAAAGUGAAGGCAUAUCAGAUAUCACCAGAUCAAUUGCCAGAGUAGUAUUUCAUAUGCAAGUUAUUUGCCUCUAAAUAGAACAUGACGAAUUGCAGAGGGUACUGUAAUAUGUUGGUGCUGAAGCUCAAAGCUAGAUAGUACCUCUAAAUAGAAUAUCACAACUAGCAGAGGGUGCUGUAGAGUGUAGUCUGUUAAUGCUGAAGUCAAAGCUAGAGAGGCCUCAUAUGUGCUUAAAGAAAUACUGAUAGAUCAAACGAAAAGAUCUCAUCUUGGUUUGCUCUUUAAAAUAAUCCAUCCUCAAGUACUUAACAGGAUGCAAUGCCACUUGUGUGGUUAUGCAGGAAUCGGCAUUUCAUGAAUUAAAACUGUCACCGGAAAUUUAUGCAAUGCCACUUGUGUGGUUAUGCAGGAAUCGGCAUUUCAUGAAUUAACUUUUUUUUAUAAGUGUCGCUGGAAAUAUAACGUCUAGAUAGGUCAGACAUAUCCUUCCUAGAUGUAUUGGUGCCAGGGGAAAUUCUGAUCCAUUUCAACCCCCAAGAAAUUCAAAGAUAAGCUGGAAAGGUAGAACUCAUUACCAAAACUUCAGCCUCAGUUCACUGCACCAGUUUAUAGCUAAUAUCAACCACAAUUGUGAAUGCCCAACAUAGCCACUUUUAGCCUCUAACUUUAGCCACUUCAUCUACCUUCCUCCCAUACAUAUGCAACUUGACAAAUACUGUUUCAAAUUUAUACAGCCACAUAUAGUUUUGGUCCAAAAAAAUAAGAUGUUAAAAUGACAAAAGGGACAAAAGCAUGUGACUUGCACUUGCGUGAUGUGGAAAUGGAAACAAAAACAGGUUUUCUGCACUUUCUCAAACCCCAUCUAACCCCGACACACACACACACACACAUAUAUAUAUGAGAGAGAGAGAGAAAGAUCCUUCCUUGCCAAAAGCUUCUUUCUGGCAAAAUAGUGAAAUUACCGGUCCCUAUUUUCAAACUAUUUCCAAUUGUGAAUAGAGGAUAAAGCUUCCAAGGAUGUAGAAUACUAAGUGCAUAACAUCCAUCUUUCAUGCCCAGCCGAACCCUUUUCUAGUGCAAAUAUCCACCAAGGUCACAGCCCCUCAAGAUCUCGAAGCUUCCUGCAUAAAGCUUCUUCUCUUCCUAUCAACCCCCCACCCCCCACCCACCCCAGCCCCAACCCAAAAUAACUGUGCAUCCAUUAGUCCCAGUUUACUGGACUUACCACUCAGUUAUUGCCCAAGAAAUGAGUGAGAUUAACCAAUAUAGAUGUUCAGAAGGAAUGAAAUUCUUCUCAAACAUAUGUAUGAACUAAGUAGCCCAUAUGGAAGAACAGCUACAGUUAGUAAGCUGGAGUUUGGCAACGACAAAGCAAAUGACUCAUUUUGCAUUUUGGAAUUUUCCUUGAAUGAAGGUACUUUUAAGGCAAUUGGCAUUUGUAAGUUUCAUAACUAUUUCUGUCAACCUGUAUCUAGUUAAUUUAUUUGAAGGUUUAGUUCAUACUUCUUUUGUGAUUUUGGGUGGGCACAACACUUGAAGGUACCUGUUUCUCAUCACUGUUAAGAAAUGAGAAAACAGUUACCUUCUCUGGGUUUUUCGCACUUUAGUUGUAUUCCUUUUAAUGUGUAUGGUUAUAUACUGCUGUUGAUUGUUGGUUGGGCAGUGAGGAGUCAGGAAGAAGUCUAGCUGAAGGAGAUAGAAAGUACGGUGGUCGGUGAGGAUUGCGUUUCUCUUAAAAUUUGGAUAAGAGAUGACAAACACAUGCCACAUGCUUUUUUUCUAUCAGUAGCACAGCAACCGGACAUGCCACAUGCUUUUUUCUCAAUGUUUAAACGUAACAACUACUUCUGAGACAAAAGUGUUUGGGGAUCGAGAGGCAUGAGACUAAUCUCUCUCAAGUUGUAUUGAGGGACAACGGCAGAAUAGGCAACAAAUGUUCCAGACUGAAUAUGUCUUCUUUUCUCCUAAAUGGUAUAGUAAGCAUGGCUACACUUAAAGCCCUAGGAAUUGUUGCAUUUUAUUCUUUCCGCUUUUACUAUCACAAGAAGAAUUCAAGUGUGCUAGCUCCCAACGGGCCCAACCUCUCUCCUCCUAGAGGAAUUCUCAAAUUUUAAUAGCCCAAAUAUAAUACUCUAUCCGUCCUAUGUUGUUUGACACUAUUUUCUUUUUAGAACGUCCCAGAUUACUUGACAGUAUUGUAUUUCUAUAAAACUUUCACAAAUUUGAAAAUUCAAAUUCACUAAACUAUUCAACCAAAAUAAUUUUUCAGCUAUUAUUUUAAUAUUUUCUUCUACUAUCACUAUAAUAUAUACGCCAAAUUAGCAUCUUAACCUCUGUCUCUAGUCAAACAACCAUCACAUAUAAUGGAACGGAGAGUAGUAUUCUUUAAUAAUCAACAAUUUGAUUUUCUUAUUUAAAUAACGAGACUAGCCAAUAACUCUUUUUACCAGCCGUAAUGCAAAUUGUCCGAGUGGUCCUAGCCACUACUAGAUGAAGUCAAUUUUAUUCUCGACAAUAAUUAUGCCCUAGGAAUAGUUACAAAAUUAAAAUCGUCCAUGUAAGAAAGUGAAGAUAAUAUAAGAAAAAAUCGAGAUCUAAUUAAAACAAGAAGUUAACAACAGAAACGCAAAAUCAAAUUCUCCAAAUAAAACUCUAAUAAACAUGUCAAGAGCUAUGAAUAAUAUAAAUUGAGAUUAACAAUAGUUAAUUGAACCCUAAAAUGAAGUACCUGAUUCAUGGAGGUAUCGGAAAACGAGGUAGUUUAACUCCGCGGAGGUUAUAGAGAUCAUUGUUGUGAUUCGCCGUCGGCGUAAACAGACAUAUAGGCUACUCUGGGAGAGUGUAGAGAGAAAAAAAUGGGAAGAGGGAAAUGGUAAUAGAAUGACGUUAGAAUUAUAAAUGUUUCGUUCCAAAAGGCAUUUUGAAUCAGGUGUCUAAAAUACGCUCCAUAUAUAAUAGUAGUAGCCUACUUGGUAAAUGAGGUUAUUUUGGGAAAUAUUUUUUUUAAGUGUUUUUUUCAAUAAAAAUUUGGUGAAAAGCACUUUGUGUUUUACUAAUUAAUUUAAAAAGUAAUUUUAAGCAGCAAUUAGUAUUUGGUCAAACUUUUAAAAAGUGCUUCUAAGAGCUCGUUUGGCCAAACUGCCAAAAUCUGCUUAUUUUGAAAAGUAUUUUUUUUCAGAAGUACUUUUUUAAAAGUACUUUUGAAAAAAAACUAUUUGUGUUUGGCCAAUUCAUUUAAGAAGUACUUUUUACAAUAUUUGGUAAAUAAAUUGUGUUUGGCCAAUUUUCUAAAAAGUGCUUUUGAGUGUCAAAUUACUAAAAAGGAUAGUACCAAGGUCUUAUAAUUUUUUAAAUAGAAAAAUAAACUUAAAUAUUUAUCGUAACAAACUUUUAUUAUUGUUUUAUUUUAUUUGAUUAAAAUAUAAAGCAUAAAGUAAACAAACAUAUUAAAGAAUUAAAUCAAUUUUAUAUAUAGUAUAAUUAUACCAAAGCAUAUGAUAUUAUCUAGUAUAAUUACGUAUUGUUAUAUGAUGAUUUGAAUACUUAAAAUAACAUCAUUCAGUAUAAAUUAGAAGUCUAUCCACGAAUUACAAUAUAUUGAUAAUCCAUCAUAAAAUAAUAAGUAAAGUCACUCACACAUGAUAAUAUUUUUGUGAUGACCCGAAAGGUCAUCUCUUGUUUUAGAAGUCAAAUCUACGUCCUGAGGCCUUGUAAACCUCCUUUUAUCUCUCCUCGAAUUGCGUGUGCAAUCCGGCGUACAUCCGGAAAGCCCUUAUGUGGAAAUUUGAGAAAAAUUCUAAGUUUUACCUUUAAAAUAGAAUUAAGUUGACUUCAGUCAACAAUUGGGUAAACGGACCCGGUCCCAUAUUCCGACAGUCACGUAGGAUCUGUAGUAAAAUAUGGGACUUGAGGGUAUGCCCGGAAUAUAAUUCCGAGAUCCCUAGUCCGAGAAAAGAGUUUUUAAAGAAAAUUAUUUGCUGAAAAAUAUAAAGACUUUCGGAAAUGAAAUGAUGUGUGUUUUUUAUGGUAUCAGACCCGUAUUUUAGUUCCGGAUCCCGGUACAGGUUUAAAAUAAUAUUUAAGUCGAAUCUGUGAAAUUUGGUAAGAAUCGGAGUUGAUUUGAUAUAAAUCGGACCUUAGGUUGAGAAAAUGAAAAUUGUGAACUAUCUUAUUAAUUUCAUGAAUUUGAGGUUAAAUUCGUAGUUGUUGAUGUUAUUUAGAUGAUUUGAUCGCACGAGCAAGUCCGUAUGAUGUUUUUAAACUUGCAUGCAUGUUUGGUUUGGAGCCCCGAGGGCUCGGGUGAGUUUUGGAUAGGCCGUUGAGUGAGUUUGGACUUAGAGAAAAUUGUUGUUGCAGCUGGUAUGUGUUGCAGGCUCUGAUCUCGCAGUUGCGAGGUCAGACUUCGCAAUUGCGAGCCCAACAGGCUUGGCAGUUGCGAGGGCUUGAUCGCAUUUGCGAAGAAAGCCCAUGUUUGCUUUGUUCGCAUUUGUGAACUUUCCUUCGCAAUUGCGAAGCCAUCAUGGAGGGGCAGUCAUCGCAAUUGCGAAAGGAGCAGACAUGCAACAGGUUCGCAAUUGCGAAGCCUGUCUCACAUUUGCGAGCUUCACAAUUGCGAAGCUCCUGUCGCAAUUGCGACAUCUGCACCUGAACAAAACAUCAUUUGGACGGGAUUUCAACUCCAUUCUUCAAAAUUUCGAACCCUAAGCAUCCCUAGGCGAUUUUUCAAAGAUUCAAACUUCUUCAAAUCAAAAGUAAGUGAUUUCUAACUCAUCUUAUUCAAUGUAAUUCAUCUUUUUACAUAAUUUCAUUUCAAAAUCUAGGGUUUUUCAUGGGAAGUUAGGUGUUUUUGGGUAGAAGUUAGGAUUUUCGAAUUUUGGGGAUGUGGACCUCAAAUUGAGGUCUGAUUUUAAAACUAAUUUGCAUACUUGAGUUCGUGGGUGAAUUAGUGAUCGGGUUUUGGUUCGAACUUCGGGUUUUGACAAAGAAGGUCUGAGGUCGAUUUUUGACUUUUUGGAGAAAAUAUUGGAAAAUCUAUUUUCAUGCAUUACGAUUGGUUUAUUUAGCAUUUAUUAAUGUUAUUAAGUAAAUUAUGACUAGAUACAAGCAGAUUGGAAGUGGAACUGAGAGGUAAUGUGAUAAUUGAGGCUUAAUCUUGUCCGUAGAAUUGAGGUAAGUGUUUGGUCUAACCUUAGCUUGAGGGAAUAGGAGUUGUGGUCUUAUUUUCUAUGUAUUAGUAUUGAGUACGACGUAUAGGUGUGGUGACGAGUAUCUAUACGUUGGUGUCAAGCAUGCCCGUGAGUCUUAUACCAUAAUUGUUAUGACUCUAUUAUGCAUUGCUCAUGCUUAAAUUAAUAAUUAUCAAUGUUGAACAAGGCUUAUGAUAAUUUCUUGGUAAUUGACCAUUGUGGAGUAUUGGCCUAAGUUGAGAUUCAUUUUUGUAAAGUAACUGUUGAAACGAGAUUGGUUAUAGUUGAUUCCCUUGCCGGGAUGUUAUUGUUUAUAUUGUUGAUUCCUUUGUCGGAGCGUAUUGUUUCUAUUGUUUGGGUGAGGAAGAGUGUAAAGAACGAAGAGUGAUGUCGUGCAUGAUAUUGUGAGUUAAUCUUAAUGCACGAAGGGUGAUGUCGUGCCGAUAUUGUGAGUGUUAAUGCACGAAGGGUGAUGUUGUGCCAUGAUUUGAGAGUUAAUGCACAAAGGGUGAUGUCGUGCCGAUAUCUUGAGAGUUAAUGCACGAAGGGUGAUGCCAUGCCAUGAUUAUGAGAGUUAAUGCACGAAGGGUGAUGUCGUGCCGUUUCCGUUGUUUCAUAUGGUGAGAACGAGGGUAAAAGCACGAAAGGUGAUGUCGUGUACGUGUUACUAUUUUCCUUAUUCAUGCCAAUUUAACUAUGGUGUCCUUUAUGCUUUUCUAUUAGUUUAUUGUUAGAAUUUGAUAUUCCUCGCAGCAUAUCCCCUUCCCAUCUUAUUCUGUUGAUUCCUGUUAUUAUGGUUCUGUUUGCAUAUGAUUUAACUGCACAGGUUAUAUGGUUGUCGUGCCCUAGCCUCGUUACUACUUCGCCGAGGUUAGGCUCAACACUUACCAAUACAUGGGGUCGGUAGUACUGUUACUGCACUCUGUACUCUUUUGUGCAGAUUUCGGUGCCGGACCCGCUGAGUAGCUAGGGUAGCUGCCUUCAGUCCAGGGAGACCAAGGUAGAUCUGCUGGCGUCCGCAGAGCCUGAAGUCCCUUCCCUGUUUUAGCUUUCUGCUGUCUCUUUUCAUUUCGAGAACAAUUGUACUUUUCUUUCUAAACCAGUGUUUGUAGAAAUUCGUAGAUGUUCGUGAAAUUGUGACACCAAAUUCAUGGGUAGACAUCUAUUGGAUUAUUUGAAUUUGUUAUAACACUUCCGCACUUUUCAUCUACUUAGCUUUAGUUACUGUUUAUAUCUAUUUGGGUUGAUUGCUAAUGUGUUAAAAUCAUAGUAGUUGGCUUGCCUAGCUUUUAAGAGUAGGCGCCAUCACAACUCCCAAGGGUGGGAAAUCCGGAUCGUGACAAGUUGGUAUCAAAGCCCUAGGUUGCCUAGGUCUCACAAUCCACGAACAAGCUAGGUAGAGUCUGAGAGAUUGGUACGGAGACGUCUGUGCUUAUCCCUAGAGGCUACAGAGUUUAGGAAAACUCACAUCUAUUUUUUCCUGUCAUGUGACUUGAUUUCUCAAUGCUAAUUGGACAUCCACUCUGUUCUUUUGCAGAUAGUGAGAACACAUACCGCUUCAUCAGUUGACCAGCAGCCUGAGCCCCUAGUAGCAGCUCCUACGAGUUGACAAGGCCGAGGCCGUGUUCGAGGCUGAGGUAGAGGUAGGACUCAGCCGAGAGCUCGAGCAGCAGCACCAGCGGGCGGAGCCUCAGGUAGAGUUCGAGGAGGAGGUUCCGGUCCAGAUAAUUCCAGCAGAGCCAGCUCAAGUUCCAAAGGGGUUCAUCGCCACCCCGGUACUCUAGGAUGCUUUGGUCCGUCUAGUGGUCCUUAUGGAGAGUGUCACUCAUGCAGGCAUAUUCCAUGUAGCACUAGUUGUCUCUCAGGCUGGAGGAGGAGCCUAGACUCCUGCUACUCGCACUCCGGAGCAAAUAGCUCCCCAGUUUCAAACUCCAGCAGCUCAGCCAAUUGGGGUAAUUCAGUCGGGUGUUGUAGCACAGACCGGAGAUGGAGCAGCCAUGUAUGCUAAUGCCUUGUGGAGACUAGACAGGUUCACUAAGCUUUUUACUACCACAUAUGGCGGUACAUCUUCAGAGGAUCCCCAAGACUAUCUGGACAACUGUCACGAGGUUCUACGGAACAUGGGGAUAGUGGAGACCAAUGGGGUCGACUUUGCUGCUUUUCAUCUGUCAGGUUCCGCCAAGACUUGGUAGAGGGAUUAUUAUUUGGCUAGACUAGUUGGGUCGCCGGCUUUGACUUGGGAUCAGUUAUCUCAGUUAUUUAUGUAGAAAUUUCUUUCUAUCACUCAACUAUCGGAGGUAGUUUGAGCGUCUCCAGCAAGGUUCUAUGAUUGUCACUCAGUACGAGACCAGAUUUAUUGACUUGGCCCGUCAUGCUCUUCUUAUACUUCCCACCGCGAGGGAGAGGGUGAGGAGGUUUAUUGAGUGAUUAGCUCAGCCUAUUAGAUUGUAGAUGGCUAAGGAGACAAGGAGUGAGAUUUCUUUCCAAGAUGCGGUCAAUGUGGCCAGGAGAGUUGAGAUGGUUCUAGCUCAAGGGAGAGGUCAGGGGUUUGACAAGAGGCCCCGUCAUUCUAGUCGAUUCAGUGGUGCCUCGUCUAGAGGCAGGGAUUCUAUUGGUAGAGGUCAUCUUCCCAGGCCGUUUCAUUCAGCACUACAGACUUCUCACGGUGCUCCAGGUGGUCGUGGUUCUCAUAUGCAGUACUCAGAUUAGCUACCUUACAAUGCAUCACCAGCUCCUAUCAGUGCACCUCCGCUCCAAAAUUUUUAAGGUGGUUACUCAGGCCGUCAGGGUCAGCAGUCCCAGCAGCCGAGGACUUGUUAUACUUGUGAAGAUCCGAGGCAUUUUGCUAGGUUUUGCCCUCGAGCAUCGAGUAGUUCUCAGCAUCAGGGUUCUCGUGCCAUAGUUCAAGCACCGGGUGUUCCACUGCCCGCUCGGCCAGCUAGAGGUAGGGGCCAAACAGCUAGAGGUGGAGGUCAAGGUACUAGAGGUGGAGGUUAGGCUGCUAAAGGUGGAGGCUAGCCAGCAGGAGGCCGUCCCAGGAAUGUAGUUUAGAGUAGUGGGGUCCAGCCCCGAUGUUAUGCUUUCCCAGCUAGGCCUGAGGCCGAGGUAUCCGAUGUCGUUAUCACAGGUACGGUUUCAGUAUGUAGUAGAGAUGCUUCAGUUUUAUUUGAUCCAGGGUCUAUAUACUCCUAUGUGUCAUAUUAUUUUGCUUCGUAUUUGGUUGUGCCUCGUGAUUCCUUGAGUGCUCAUGUAUAUGUGUCCAUACCGGUGGGUGAUUCUAUUAUUGUAGAUUGUGUCUAUCGCUUGUGUGUGGUUAUUAUUGGGGGUCUUGAGACCCGUCUAGAUCUCCUACUUCUCGACAUGGUCGAUUUUGAUGUCAUUUUGGGGAUGGAUUGGUUGUCACAUUAUCAUGCCAUAUUGGACUAUCACGCCAAGACUACAACUUUUAGCCUUGCCGGGUUUGCCUCAAUUGCAGUGGAGAGGGACUCCUAGUCAUUAUAUCAGUAGGGUUGUUUCUUAUAUGAAGGUUCAGCAUAUGGUUGAAAAGGGGUGUUUGGCUUAUUUGGCAUAUGUUCAUGAUUCUAGUGCUGAGGUUCCUUCUAUGGAUUCCGUGCCAGUUGUUCGGGAGUUUCCAGGGGUUUUUCCUGCAGACCUACCGGGGAUGUCAUCCGACAGGGAUAUUGACUUUUGCAUUGAUUUGGCUUCGGCACUCAGCCCAUUUCUAUUCCGCCAUAUAGUAUGGCCCCGCCAAAGUUGAAAGAGUUGAAGGAGCAGCUGGAAGACUUACUUGACAAAGGCUUUAUCAGACUAGUGUCUUGUCAUGGGGUGCGCUGGUGUUGUUUGUUAAGAAGAAGGAUGGGUCGAUGAGGAUGUGCAUAGAUUAUCGGUAGUUGAACAAGGUCACAAUUAAGAAUAAGUAUCCAUUGCCGAGGAUUGAUGAUUUGUUUGAUCAGCUUCAGGGUGCCAAAGUAUUUUCAAAGAUUUAUUUGAGAUCUGGCUACUAUCAGUUGAGGAUUAGGGCAUCUGAUAUCCCUAAGACAUCUUUUCGCACUCGGUACGGGCAUUAUGAGUUCUUAGUGAUGUCAUUUAGGUUGACAAAUGCACCAACAGCUUUUAUGGAUUUGAUGAAUCGGGUGUUCAAUCUUUAUCUGGAUUCUUUUGUGAUUGACUUCAUUGAUGAUAUUUUGAUCUAUUCCCGCAGUUGAGAGGAGCUUGAGCAGCAUCUUCGAGUCGUUCUUCAAACUUUGAGAGAUAGUCAGUUGUAUGCUAAGUUUUCGAAGUGUGAGUUUUGGUUGAGUUUGGUUGCCUUCUUGGGUCACGUUGUAUCAGUAGAGGGUAUUUAGGUGGAUCCGAAGAGAUAGAGGCAGUCAAGGACUGGCCUAGACCCACAUCAGCUACAGAGAUCCGAAGUUUCUUGGGUUUGGCAGGUUAUUACCGUUGGUUUGUGGAGGGAUUCUCAUCUAUAACAUCCCUGAUGACCAGGUUGAUCCAAAAAGGUGCCCAGUUCAGGUGGUCGGACGAGUGUGAGGCGAGCUUUCAGAAGCUCAAGACAGAUUUGACGACAACGUCGGUGUUGGUUUUGCCCACAUGUUUAGGGCCAUAUACAGUAUAUUGUGACGCAUCUCGUAUUGGACUUGGUGCGGUGUUGAUGCAGAAUUUCAAGAUGAUUGCAUAUGUUUCACGAUGUUGAAGAUUCACGAGAAGAAUUAUCCAGUUCAUGAUUUGGAGCUACCAGUCAUUGUUCACGCGUUGAAGAUUUGAAGACAUUAUUUAUAUGGCGUGUCAUGUGAGGUGUUCACAGAUCACAAGAGUCUAUAGUAUUUGUUCAAGCAGAAGGAGCUAAAUUUGAGGUAGAGAAAGGUGGUUAGAGCUAUUGAAAGACUAUGAUAUUACCAUUUUGUAUCAUCCGGGGAAGGCCAAUGUAGUGGUCGAUACUUUGAGUAGGAAGUCAGCCAGUAUGGGCAGCCUUGCGUAUAUUCUAGUCGGUGAGAGACCGCUUGCUUUGGAUAUUCAGGCUUUAGCCGAUCAGUUCGUGAGGUUGUAUGCAUCUAAGACCAGCCGUAUUUUAGCUUGUACAGUCGCCCGGUUUUCAUUAUUUGAGCGUAUCAGAGAUCGAUAGUAUAAUGACCCUUAUUUUCUUGUCCUUAGGGACACAGUGCGGCACGGUAGUGCCAAGCAGGUUACAGUUGGAGAUGAUGGAGUUUUAAGGAUGCAAGGUCGAGUUUGUGUGCCUAAUGUGGAUGGACUUCGUGAGUUGAUUCUAGAGGAGGCCCAUAGUUCCCGGUAUUCUAUUCAUCCGGGCGCUGCUAAGAUGUAUCAGGACUUGCGACAACAUUAUUGGUAGAGGAGAAUGAAUAAGGAUAUUGCUGCAUAUGUAGCUCGGUGUUUAAAUUGUCAGCAGGUAAAGUACGAGCAUCAGAGACCUGGUGGUUUGCUUCAGAAGAUUGAGAUUCCGGAGUGGAAGUAGGAGCGUAUCACUAUGGACUUCGUUGUUGGACUCCCACGGACUUAGAGGAAGUUCGAUGCGGUGUGGGUUAUUGUUGAUAGGCUGACUAAGUCAGCACAUUUCAUUCAUGUGGCAGUCUCCUAUUCUUCAGAGAGGUUAGUUGAGAUCCAUAUUCGGGAGAUUGUUCGUCUUCAUGGUGUGCCUGUGUCUAUCAUUUCUGACCAAGGUACGCAGUUUACCUUGCAUUUAUGGAGGGCAGUUCAGCGUAAGUUGGGUACACGUGUCGAGUUGAGCACAACAUUUCAUCAUCAGACGGACAGAUAGUCCGAGCAUACUAUUCAGAUUUUGGAGGAUAUGCUCUGAGCAUGUGUUAUUGACUUUGGAGGUUCGUGGGAUCAGUUUUUGCCAUUAGCAGAGUUUACCUACAACAACAGCUAUCAGUCGAGCAUCCAGAGGGCUCACUAUGAGGCAUUAUAUGGUAGAUGGUGUCGAUCGCCAGUUGGGUGGUUUAAGCCGGAAGAGGCUCGGUUGUUGGGUACGGAUUUGGUAUAGGAUGCCCUGGACAAGGUUAAGAUAAUUCAGGAUAGGCUUCGUACAGCUCAGUCCAUGCAAAAAAGUUAUGCCGACCGUAAGGCUCGUGAUGUGGCAUUCAUGGUUGGAGAGCGAGUAUUGCUUCGGGUAUCGCCCACGAAGGGCGUGAUGAGAUUUGGAAAGAAGGGCAAGCUAAGCCCUAGGUUGAUCGGUCCUUUUGAGAUUCUUGAUCGAGUGGGAGAGAUGGCUUACAAACUUGUGUUGCCACCGAGUUUAUCAGCUGUGCGUCUAGUGUUUCAUGUGUCCAUGCUUUGGAGGUAUCACGGCGAUCCAUCCCACGUGUUAGACUUCAGCACUGUCCAGUUGGACAAGGACUUGACCUAUGAGGAGGAGCCGAUAGCUAUUCUAGACCGACAUGUUCGUCAGUUGAGAUCGAAGAGUUUCCCUUCAGUUCAUGUGCAGUGAAGAGGUCAGCCUGUUAAGGCAACGACCUGGGAGUCCGAGUCCGAUAUGCGGAGCCGAUAUCCCCAUCUUUCCCCGACUUAGGUACUUUUCUAUAUCUGUUCAAGGACGAACGGUUGUUUCAGAGGUGGAGAAUGUGAUGACCCAAAAGGUCAUCUCUUAUUUUAGAAGUCAAAUCUGCAUCCCGAGGCCUUGGAAACCUCCUUUUAUCUCUCCUCAAUUUGCGCGCGCAGUCCAGGCGUAUAUCCGGAAAGCCCUUAUGUGGAAAUUUGAGAAAAAUGCUAAGUUUUGCCUUUAAAAUAAAAUUAAGUUGACUUAGAUCAAUAUUUUAGGUAAACGAAUCCAGACCCGUAUUCCGACGGUCCCAUAGGGUCCGUAGUAAAAUAUGGGACUUGGGCGUAUGCUCGGAAUCGAAUUUCGAGGACCCUAGUUUGAGAAAAGAAUUUUGAAAGAAUAUUAUUUGCUGGAAAAUAUAAAGACUUUUGGAAAUGAAAUGAUGUGUGUUCUUGAUAGUAUCGGGCCAUAUUUUGGUUUCGGAGCCCGGUACAGGUUUAAAAUAAUAUUUAAGUUGAAUAUGUGAAAUUUGGUAAGAAUCAGAAUUGAUAUUAUAUAAAUCGGACCUUAGGUUGAGAAAAUAAAAAUUUUGAACUAUCUUAUGAAUUUCAUGAAUUUGAGGUUAAAUUCGUAGUUAUUGAUGUUGUUUUGAUGAUUUGAUCGUACGAGCAAGUCCGUAUGAUAUUUUUAGACUUGUGUGCAUGUUUGUUUUGAAACCUCGAGGGCUCAGGUGAGUUUUGGAUAGACCACUGAGUGAGUUUGGACUUAGAGAAAAUUGUUGUUGCAACUGGUAUGUGUUGCAGGCUCUGAUCUCGCAAUUGCGAGGUCAGGCUACGCAAUUGCGAGACCAACAGGCUUGGCAAUUGUGAGGGCUUGAUCCCAUUUGCGAAGAAAGCCCAAGCCUACCUUGUUCGCAUUUGCGAACUUUCAUUCGCAAUUGUGAAUCCAUCAAGGAGGGACAGUCAUCGCAAUUGCGACAAAAUGCUUGCAAUUGCGAAAGGAGCAGACAUGCAUUGGACGAGAUUUCAACUUCAUUCUUCAAAUUUCGAACGCUAAGCAUCCCUAGGCGAUUUUUCAAAGACUCAAACUUCUCCAAAUCAUAAGUAAGUGAUUUCUAACACAUCUUCUUCAAUCUAAUUCAUCUUUUUACAUAAUUUCACUUCAAAAUCUAGGGUUUUUCAUGGGAAAUUGGGUGUUUUUGGGUAGAAUUUUGGAUUUUGGAAUUUUGGGGAUGUGGACCUCAAAUUGAGGUCCGAUUUCAAAACUAAUUGUAUAUUUGAGUUCGUAGGUGAAUGGGUGAUCGGGUUUUGGUUCGAACUUCGGGUUUUGACUAAGCGGGCCCGAGGUCAAUUUUUGACUUUUUGGGAAAAACAUUGAAAAAUCUAUUUUCAUGCAUUAGAAUUGGUUUAUUUAUCAUUUAUUAAUGUUAUUAAGUAAAUUAUGACUAGAUAUAAGACAAUUGAAAGUGGAACCGAGAGGUAAAGCGGUAAUUGAGGCUUAAUCUUGUCCAUGGAAUUGAGGUAAGUGUUUGGUCUAACAUUAGCUUGAGGGAAUAGGAGUUGUGGUCUUAUUUGCUAUGUGUUAGUAUUGAGUACGACAUAUAGGUGUGGUGACGAGUAUCUAUACGUUGGUGUCAAGCAUGCCUGUAAGUCUAAUACCAUGAUUGUUGUGACUCUAUUAUGCAUUGUUCAUGCUUAAAUUGAUAAUUAUCAAUGUUGAACAAAGCUUAUGAUAAUUUCUUGGUAAUUGACCAUUGUGGAGUAUUUGCUCAAGUUGAGAUUCAUUUUUGUAAAGUAACUAUUGAAACGAGAUUGGUUAUAGCUAAUUCUCUUGCCGGGAUAUUAUUGUUUAUAUUGUUGAUUCCCUUGCCGGGACGUAUUGUUUCUUUUGUUUGGGUGAGGAAGAGUAUAAAGCAUGAAGGGUGAUGUUGUGCAUGAUGUUGUGAGUUAAUGUUAAUGCACUAAGGGUGAUUUCGUGCCGAUAUUGUGAGUGUUAAUGCACGAAGGGUGAUGCCGUGCAGAUAUCUUGAGAGUUAAUGCACGAAGGGUGAUGUCGUGCCAUGAUUAUGAGAGGUAAUGCACGAAGGGUGAUGCCGUGCCGUUUCCGUUGCUUCAUAUGGUGAGAACAAGGGUAAAAGCACGAAGGGUGUUGCCGUGCACAUGUUACUGUUUUCCUUAUUCUUGCUGAUUUAACUAUGGUGUCCUUUAUGUUUUUCUAUUAGUUUAUUGUUAGAAUUUGAUAUUUCCCCCAGCAUGUCCCCUUCCCAUCUUAUUUUGUUGAUUCAUGUUAUUAUGGUUUUGUUUGCAUAUGAUUUAACUGUACAAGUAUAUAGUUGUCGUGCCCUAGCCUCGUUACUACUUCGCCGAGAUUAGGCUCGACACUUACCAGUACAUGGGGUCGGUUGUACUGAUACUGCACUCUGCACUCUUUUGUGCAAAUUUCGGUGCCGACCCGAUGAGUAGCUGAGGUAGCUGCCUUCAGUCCAGGGAGACCAAGGUAGAUCUGUUGGCGUCCGCAGAGCCUGAAGUCCCUUCCCUGUUUUAGCUUUAUGUUGUCUCUUUUCAUUUCGAGGACAGUUGUACUUUUCUUUCUAAACCAGUGUUUGUAGAAAUUCGUAGAUGUUUGUGAAAUUAUGACACCAGAUUCGUGGGUAGACAUGUAUUAGAUUAUUUGAAUUUGUUAGAACACUUCCGCACUUUUCAUCUGCUUAGCUUUAGUUACUGUUUAUAUCUGUUUGGGUUGAUUGCUAAUGUGUUGAAAUCAUAGUAGUUGGCUUGCCUAGCUUUCACGAGUAGGUGUCAUCACGACUCUCAAGGGUGGAAAAUUCGGGUCGUGAUAAUUUUUCAACAAUUUCAUAUUCCUAUCACACAACGCCUCCACGUUAGUAGAAGACUACCUCGCAUUUCUAAAGGAAUAUCAGAAUGCUCAUCUCCUUCAUCAAUCUCUGCAGUAAUGUCUUCAUUAGCAUAAUAGUUGAAUUCUGUAUCGGUAGAAGAAUGCCAUAGGAUGAAAUUAUGUAUAACCAUGGUAGUUAUAGCUAGAUGAUUCUGAGUGUCAAACUUGAAAGAUGGUAUUGAGCGUAAAAUAGAAAUACUUUUAAAUAUAUAAAAAAAUCGUAAAAGAAAUAGUUAAGUAUGCUUAAAUUCUAAUUCAAAAAGAGUAACUAAUUAUUAAACACAAAAUGUAUAAUUUAUUUAUUUUAAAAAAAAAUUAAACUAAAAAAAAUUAAUUAGUACCUAACCUUACUAACUUUGUCCCAAAAUGCCAAAUGACCUAUUGUGAGGCUGCCACUUGACUUAAUGUGGAUGCAUUUUCUUCUUCUUUUGAUAAUAUAUAGAUAGAUUAUGAAAUGCAAUUGUAAAUUUAUUACCUAUUUGUAAGUCAUUUUCACAAAUUAGAUUUGAUAAUUGUUUUAAAGAUUCGGGAACUAAUGGCAUAUAAUAGAAGAAAUUAUAAAUGAUUGUUUGUAGGAAGAGAAUUAAUAAUUUGCUUUAGUUUGAAAAAAGAAGAAGAUAAUUUAGAAAGUUACAAGACAUUACACAAAGAAAAAUAAAAAACAAGAAAUGUCAAUAAAAAUUUUGGAAAGUUACAAUAUGAUUCAUAUAUAUGAUAUCUUUAAUUUUAAUAGAAUGGUAAAAACUAGAAACAAAAAUGAAAAGAAAAAACUAAAAUUAAUAAAGGAUAAUUUGAAAAUNNNNNNNNNNNNNNNNNNNNNNNNNNNNNNNNNNNNNNNNNNNNNNNNNNNNNNNNNNNNNNNNNNNNNNNNNNNNNNNNNNNNNNNNNNNNNNNNNNNNNNNNNNNNNNNNNNNNNNNNNNNNNNNNNNNNNNNNNNNNNNNNNNNNNNNNNNNNNNNNNNNNNNNNNNNNNNNNNNNNNNNNNNNNNNNNNNNNNNNNNNNNNNNNNNNNNNNNNNNNNNNNNNNNCGCUUACCUCGGCAGGGCAUUCAAAUGCUUAUAAAUAGGGGUCUACAUUUUCAUUUGUAGAUCAUCCCAAAACUUCUUCUUUCUCUCUUCAAUUAAUAAAGAGCUAUUCUUUGUGUGGCCGUGGAGUAGGCAAAAAUUGCCGAACCACGUAAAUCUUGUCUUGUCUUGUGCAAUUUAUUGUUUCUCUCCUAAAUAUUCUUUUCCUUCUAUUAUCUUGACACGCUUCCUCAACAUUAUUGACGUAAAAAAAAUUAUUCAAGAAACAUCAAACGGACUUCACGAACAUGUAUUGUGCACCUCUUGGGCCUUCUAGCUCUAUGAGUUGCAUAUAGAUUGACAUAUUCAUGAGGCUGCAAGGCAGUUCUUCUUGGUGAAUCAGUGCUUGCGAUUUUAGAAAGUCUAAUGACAACUUAAAUUUCAUCAUCUCGGCUAUUACUGAAUAUGAGGUGGGCUUCAUAUUAGGCUGGUCCUUCUUUCUUAUGCUACUUAUAUUAUUUUUAUUUUUAGAUAGUAGAGGUAGUAGACUUGAUUUCUCUCAAGAACUAUUUGCAUGCACGAUGCUGUGAAUCUGUCAGUUUAAGAAAACUAGUAAGCUAAAUAAAGAGGUACUUAUCUGAUUGCAUGAGAAGCUUAAUUGCUUCACUUUUAAUUAGAUUGACUUGUGCUUAUUAUCUAUUCUUUGAUUACAGUGCUUUCACGUGCCAACUAGUAUAUACCUUGCCUUGCUUCACUUUUAAGAAACAAAUUAGCACAAGGUGAACGGAAGAAGUUACCAGAGAAGACUAAAUACAUACACAACCUCCUAAAUUUGUCCGAUUUUUUUAUUUAGGCACUUGAACUCGAGCUUCUACCUAUUGAACACCUAAACUCUUCUAAAAGUGUGUCAAUUAUACACAUUUUAUUCAGACAACCAAAAUAUAAAUGUGUGCAUUUCACACGCAACCGACACGGCAAAAAGAACCAAUGGUAACACAUGGAUUCAUCUCUCUAUCCCUCCAUAUUUGCUUCCAAUUUCUUUGUAACUUUUCCUUAAAGUUCUAUAACUUGCAAAUAAUGAAAUUCAGUCCUCCAUUGUGGUUCUAUUCCUUCAUAUACGAGCUUGUUUGGAUGGUUGUUACCUUUUGUAUUGUAUUGUAUUGUUACUUUAAAUAUAAUAUUUGUUUUAAUUGUUAAUUACUCAAAUUUUAUUGUAUUAUAUUGUUAAAUUCGUCGUUACGUAAUCACGAAAAGUGCCACUUUAUGGAACGACCGAUUUGGUGAGAUCGCGUUAUUCCCUUCUUUUUUCUCUCAUCUUUGCCCUUCCAUAUUAUUAAAUAAUUUAAUUUUAUCCUUUACCCUACUUUUUUAUACAAUAAUUCUAUUUCGUGCUUUAAUUACUUUUUCUUUAUAAUAUUGCAAGUUUAUUAUUCAUAGUAUUGGAGCAUGACAUUAUGAAAUGAUGAAAAAUAAUACAAUUUGUCUGAACAUUGUAUACAUCAAAAUGAUACAGUACAAUACUAUAUGAUGCAUUAUGAAACAAUACAUAACAGCCAUUCAAACAAGCUUUAUCUUUUGCCCCUGACGUGUGAUUUUCCCUUCUUACCCUCCCCUUCUUUCUAUGAGCAUAUGACCUUUUUAUUGUGAUUUUAGGGUAUCUCGAUUUUGUGUUGAAUUGUGAAGCUUAAGUUUUUAUUUUUUUAAUAUUAAAACUUCAAUGACCUUUCUCUUAAUAUUUGGUUAAUGAAAAUUCUUAUCUUAUCUCCCGAUAGACAGGAGAAAAGGUGUUAGCUUUCGAACUUCAUCUAUUUUAGUGUUUGACUGAAUUGGAGCCAUUAGUUGAUUGAUUUUAGACACUAAGGGGUCGUUUGGUAGGGUGUAUAACAAUAAUGAUGAAUAGAGUGUAUUAAUAAUACAGAGAUUAAUAAUGCAUGUGUUAGUAAUGCCACUAAAAGUCGCCACAAAAAACCUAAUUUCUUGUAGUGACUGUUUGGUAUGGUGUAUUUAAAACUAAAAUACAUUGCAUAGUUUUUUUAAAAAUUAGUUGUUUACAAAAAUUUCCUCUAUAUUCUUUAGCUUAAAGGGACUUUUAAGGAUAAUUUUAUCUCUAAUCAUGCUAAUGCAUGCAUUAAUAGACUCGGUAUUACUAAUAACAUAGUUUUCUAUGCAUUAGCCAUAUAUAGGAUAAUAUCAAAUAGGAUGUGUAACUAAUACAUGUAUUAGUUAUACAUAGGUUGAAAAAGUAUACUAAACAAGGUAUUGCUAAUACACAAAGCUAAUGCAUGCAUUAUUUUCUCUAAGUCCCUCUUCCAAACGACCUCUAAGUAUAGAAUUUUGCUGGGUUUUGUUUUCAUCUUUGUUAGGUAUUUGUCAUGAUUUUCUUAUCAUAUUUGGUUUUCCUAUCUUUUGAAAGAAAGAACAACAUAUUUACCAUAAUUGAGUUUUUCUUUUCUUAGAAGGAAAUUAUAAAUAUCCCAUAUUUGGUUAAUCUUUUUUCUUGUAGGAAAAGCUUUGGACUUCUAUAAAUUGAGAAUCAUUCCUUCUCAUUUAGCAGCAUCCACAAUUAGAAAUAUAGAGUUUGGGAGUCUUAUUUAGGAGGAGAAUUUUGGGACAAGUAUCAGCUUGCUACUUGUGUUUGCCUAUUCAUGAGGCUGUUCUUUCGAUAUUUUAUACUCUCUUUUAUAUAGUGGAUUGCUCAUCUUCGCUUGCGGACAUAGGUCAACUGACCGAACCAUGUUAAAUGUUUGUGUCUCUUUUGACAUAUUUCUUUUUUGUUGUUUGAUUUAUCGUCGCUAAAGAUUUAUUUUACUAGCUUUCGCAUGACACCUGAUUAUUUCGAUCCUAAACAAAAUAAAUUUCCCUAAGAUUUUUUUCAGAGUGUUCUUGGUGGGUGGAGUUUUGGUGGGAAAGUAAGAAUUCGGUUUUUUGAAAACUUCCAACGAGUUGAUCCGCCUUCAAGCAAAAACUGAGAAAAAACAAACAAAGAAAAAAAAUGGAAAAAGAGAAUGAGAGAGAAAAAAGGGAAGAAGAAUUAACCAUUUUUGAGAUACUCCACUCGAGAGUGCAAACUACGCAUUUGCCAUAUCAGCAAAAUGUGUUUAAUUGACACAUUUUUGAAGGAAUUUAGGUGUUUAAUAAGUACAAACUCGAAUUUAAGUGUCUAAAUGAAAAAGUGGGAUAAUUUUAGGAAGUUGUUUAUGUAUUUGGCCUACUGGAGAAUGGAAACAUGAAACAUAAGGAGUGAAAAUAUGCCUACAACUUCGACAUCAGUUCAACUAUAUGACGAGGAAGUGAAAGUAAUACCUAGGAGUGGCAAACGGGCGAGUCGGGUCGGAUAUGGUUCGGGUUGAAAAUGUGUAAUGAAAAGAUGGAUCAAUUAUCCGAUCCGACCCAUAUUUUAAUACGGAUAAAAAACGGGUUAACCGGCGGAUAAUAUGGGUUACCCAUAUUAUCCAAGACUUCUUGUAUAUGAUCACUUUUGGGAGAAUUCUUAGUCUCUCUAACUUGAGGAACCCCCAAUUUGAGGCUUUACAAAUGUAAAAAUUAGAUCCAUUGGUUAUCCAUGGUUACUCAAUGGUAAUCCAUUUUCUAAAUGGAUAAUAUGGUUCUUAUCCAUAUAUGACCUGUUUUUAUAAAGUUCAUUAUCCAACCCAUUUCUUAGUGGAUAAUAUGGGUGGUUAACUAUUUUUUUGAACCAUUUUGCUACCCCUAGUAAUACCCAAAGCUCCUGUUUAAACUGUUGCCUAAAUAAAAACGCAAAAAGAAAAAAAAUCAUAGCUAAAUAAAGCCAAGGGUAUAAUUAUAAACAAAUAUUUUAUUUUAAUUUAUGUAAUGUAUAUUAAUUUCUAAUAUCAUAAACCAGAUAUUCAAAGAAAUAAUUCAUGCAUAACUAAUACCUACAUAACUAAUUAUUACAUAAUUAAUCCCUACAUUAUUAAUAGCCGUAUAACUCCAACCAACAAUGAUCCUAAGUGUUAAUAUAUCAUUACACUCGAUUCUGUACUUAAUGUGCAGAUUAUUGUAGCAAGCAAAUGCUUUAUUCCUAAAUUUGGAUUCAGAUUCAAGUGCCACUUUUACAUGGACGAAUCACAUCUUAGAAUUAACAUGGGAAAAGACAAAAAAGUAAGGAAGAAGAUCACGUAAGAAUAUUGAUUCUUGACAUGACUGGAGAUCUGGAUGUCGUCAUCAUCAAAUAUUCGACACUUGGUUUUCUGCUUAAUUACCUCUCAAUCUUGGAGUUUUUAACCACUUGUACAAGUUCUUGGCAUAAAGAGUAACUACAGAAAGUAAAGUUGACUAGCUUCUGAAUUCUGCAGAAAAACUCGAACUAUACUCAUGAGAUAAAGUAAUAGAGUCAAUUUGGCACUAGAGUGGCCUUAUUUAGGGUACUGAUAUAUGUAAAGAAUUUUUUUCAAGAAAAGUUCCCGCGAAGGCUGAAGCAAAAAGAAUAUAGUAUACCUUCAACAUAAAGUAAAGAAAGCAAAAAGUGCCUUGUUUGCACACUCAAUGAGAUUCAGGUCUCUCAUCUCCCUUGUCUCUCUUUGCCUCUCUCUCUCUCUNNNNNNNNNNNNNNNNNNNNNNNNNNNNNNNNNNNNNNNNNNNNNNNNNNNNNNNNNNNNNNNNNNNNNNNNNNNNNNNNNNNNNNNNNNNNNNNNNNNNNNNNNNNNNNNNNNNNNNNNNNNNNNNNNNNNNNNNNNNNNNNNNNNNNNNNNNNNNNNNNNNNNNNNNNNNNNNNNNNNNNNNNNNNNNNNNNNNNNNNNNNNNNNNNNNNNNNNNNNNNNNNNNNNNNNNNNNNNNNNNNNNNNNNNNNNNNNNNNNNNNNNNNNNNNNNNNNNNNNNNNNNNNNNNNNNNNNNNNNNNNNNNNNNNNNNNNNNNNNNNNNNNNNNNNNNNNNNNNNNNNNNNNNNNNNNNNNNNNNNNNNNNNNNNNNNNNNNNNNNNNNNNNNNNNNNNNNNNNNNNNNNNNNNNNNNNNNNNNNNNNNNNNNNNNNNNNNNNNNNNNNNNNNNNNNNNNNNNNNNNNNNNNNNNNNNNNNNNNNNNNNNNNNNNNNNNNNNNNNNNNNNNNNNNNNNNNNNNNNNNNNNNNNNNNNNNNNNNNNNNNNNNNNNNNNNNNNNNNNNNNNNNNNNNNNNNNNNNNNNNNNNNNNNNNNNNNNNNNNNNNNNNNNNNNNNNNNNNNNNNNNNNNNNNNNNNNNNNNNNNNNNNNNNNCUCUCUCUCUCUCUCUCUCUCUCUCUCUCUCUCUCUCUCUCUCUCUCUCUCUCUCUCUCUCUCUCUCUCUCUCUCUCUCUCUCUCUCUCUCUGUUUCUUCCUCUUGUUCUCUUUAAUUUCCACCAUUUACCAUACUUUAACAGAAAGCCAUCUUAGCUCCCCCUUUGUUAGUUCUUCCCUCUUUUAGAGUUGGAUAUCAAAAAAUCUCCUCUCGUUCCUAGGAUUAUAACACGCAUAAUUAUUUAUAUAGCCCAUGCAUGCAUAAAAGAAAAGCAUCGUUCUAGUGUUUCGACUCUGUUUCUCGGCAGUAGAAUGCAAAUUCACAAAUUUCUACAAUUGAGGUUGGUCCAUAGGGUUGUGCUGUUGAUUUUUCUAUGCUUGUUGGUCGUCUCUACAGAAAAUAAUGACUCAUUGCUCGUUGACAUGUACAAGACGACAUCAUUUGAGGAACAGCGACAGCAAAAAUGGAAGCUGAUGAGGCAAUCUCUUGAGGUGUACUUUGCAACCAAAAGAAGAGUUCCCAAUGCAGCUGACCCUCUUCAUAAUCGUUGAAAAUCUCUCAGUUUUAAUACUGUUUUUUUUUACUAUUCAAUGUUCAUAGUCACCAUAUAAAUAUUUACCAAAUUAGUCAAUUAUUGGAUUUCCAGCUACUUUUUCUUUUGCCUUCUUCUGGUCUUUUAAUAUCGUAAAGUGUAACUCUUAAAUAAAGCAUGAAUCAGAUAUGGAAAGAUCCACACAUGCCACAUAUCUUAUUCUGUAAAACCCAGAAGGUUAUACGUAAAAAAUGAC
rnacentral:lncRNA from 1 species